CUUGACAUGUCGCAGAGCGGCUCGAGAAAUUAGGCUUUCAUCCCGCUGGGAGGAACACAGGGCAUGCAUCAAAUAGUCAGUUUGUUUAGAGAGAUGGUGGAUUAAGCCCCGCAACGCGCGCAACCCUUUCCGCCACUUGCCAUCACUCGUGUGGACCCUCUGGUGGGGCCCACGGGGACAAGCGGGAAGAAGGCGGGGAUUACGUCAAGUCCUCAUGGCCUUUACCCGAGAUUCCAACUGAAUGCACAAUGGCGCCACAGUGGGACGAGAAGUCGCAGGAUGGAGCCAACAUCCAAAACCCGUCUCAGUUGGGAGCCAACUAGGCAACUCGGGUCAUGGAAGUGGGAAUGAAAGGUAAUCGUGGAU
rnacentral:rRNA from 1 species